ensembl:lncRNA
GAUCCUUCUUCAGGCGAGCGUUGGACACAAAUGGCUGGAAUUCUCUACAGCAGCCAUUCUCAUGAUGGAGGCCCAAAAUCAGGUGUCCAAGGCCUGUCGCGACGUUUCGGAUUUUCUGAUCCUUCUUCAGGCGAGCGUUGGACACAAAUGGCUGGAAUUCUCUACAGCAGCCAUUCUCAUGAUGGAGGCCCAAAAUCAGGUGUCCAAGGCCUGUCGCGACGUUUCGGAUUUUCUGAUCCUUCUUCAGGCGAGCGUUGGACACAAAUGGCUGGAAUUCUCUACAGCAGCCAUUCUCAUGAUGGAGGCCCAAAAUCAGGUGUCCAAGGCCUGUCGCGACGUUUCGGAUUUUCUGAUCCUUCUUCAGGCGAGCGUUGGACACAAAUGGCUGGAAUUCUCUACAGCAGAGGGUUAGGGUUAGGAAUGAAUGAAAUCCAGAAGCUGAAACAUGGUUCAACCUCGGUAAAUGCACUGUCCUUCUUAUACUCCUGAUGGCCACCUGUUUACUGGACACCACUCUUCGACUUCCAGGGGCCCAAAAACAUCUUUCUGUUGAUGCAAAAAAUCCCAAAAUGGGGUUAGGGUUAGGUUAGGGUUAGGGUUAGGGUUAGGUUAGGUUAGGUUAGGGUUAGGGUUAGGGUUAGAGUUAGGGUUAGGGUUAGGGUUAGGUUAGGGUUAGGGUUAGGGUUAGGUUAGGGUUAGGGUUAGGGUUAGGGUUAGGGUUAGGGUUAGGGUUAGGGUUAGGGUUAGGGUUAGGGUUAGGGUUAGGGUUAGGGUUAGGGUUAGGGUUAGGGUUAGGGUUAGGGUUAGGGUUAGGGUUAGGGUUAGGGUUAGGGUUAGGGUUAGGGUUAGGGUUAGGUUAGGUUAGGGUUAGGGUUAGGGUUAGGGUUAGGGUUAGGGUUAGGGUUAGGGUUAGGGUUAGGGUUAGGGUUAGGGUUAGGGUUAGGGUUAGGGUUAGGGUUAGGGUUAGGGUUAGGGUUAGGGUUAGGGUUAGGGUUAGGGUUGGUUAGAUUAGGGUUAGGUUAGGGUUAGGGUUAGAGUUAGAGUUAGGGUUGGGAUUAGGGGUUAGGGGUUAGGGUUAGGGUUAGGGUUAGGGUUAGGGUUAGAGUUAGGGUUAGGUUAGGUUAGGUUAGGGUUAGGGUUAGGGUUAGGGUUAGGGUUAGGAAUGAAUGAAAUCCAGAGGCUGAAACAUAGUUCAACCUCGGUAAAUGCACUGUCCUUCUUAUACUCCUGAUGGCCACCUGUUUACUGGACACCACUCUUCGACUUCCAGGGGCCCAAAAAUAUUUUUCUGUUGAUGCAAAAAAUCCCAAAAUGGGGCUAGAGAGCUUAGGGCUCUUUCUCCUAGGUCUGCACAGCAACUGUGGCUGGUAGGUUUAGUGUGUGUGGGGCAGUUCACGUUUCCCCAAAGAAAUAAACAUUGUGCAUGUCACUUCAUCGGUGUAGAUGAAGGAAAUAAAUUUUAUUUGACUCUCUUGUCUUUUAAAUACACUUUGUGUGACUCUCUUCUCAUAUGUGUGGCUCUCUACAUCACCCAGUCUCAUGAUGGAGGCCCAAAAUCGGUGUCCAAGGCCUGUCGC